rnacentral:rRNA from 1 species
AACGGGCAACGGGGAAUCAGGGUUCGAUUCCGGAGAGGGAGCCUGAGAAACGGCUCCCACAUCUAAGGAAGGCAGCAGGCACGCAAAUUACCCACUCCCAGCCCGGGGAGGUAGUGACGAAAAAUAACGAUGCGAGACUCUUCCGAGGCCUCGCAAUCGGAAUGAGUCCAUCCUAAAUCUUUGGACGAGGAUCCAUUGGAGGGCAAGUCUGGUGCCAGCAGCCGCGGUAAUUCCAGCUCCAAUAGCGUAUAUUAAAGUUGCUGCGGUUAAAAAGCUCGUAGUUGGACUUUCUAGAUCCAUUUCGUGGGUGGGUCGCUCGUUGUACUGGCGAUUCGCGCCAGUCACUGGUCGACGUCGUGCGGAGAGUCGUACUUUUACUAAGUYGGCUUUACGGCUUUCGAUAGGGGAGACUUCUCUCUCUCGGCAAACUUUCCAGCGGACGGCGUUUCUCGGUCUUCGGGUAUAGCUCGCCCGCGUUUGGUACAAUUAAAAUUUUGUCGGCUCGCUCGGAGUGCUCUUUACCGAGUGUUCCAGGGUGGCCGACACGUUCACUUUGAAAAAAUUAGAGUGCUUAAAGCGGGCUGUAAAAACGGCCGGAAUGUCUGUGCAUGGAAUGAAGUAACAGGACCUCGAUUCUGUUCUUUUUGUCGGUUUUAAUGAACCGAGGUAAUGAUUAAAAGGGACAGACGGUGGCAUUAGUAUUGCGACGCUAGAGGUGAAAUUCUUGGACCGUCGCAAGACUAACUACUGCGAAAGCAUUUGCCGAGAAUGUUUUCAUUAAUCAAGAACGAAAGUUAGAGGAUCGAAGGCGAUCAGAUACCGCCCUAGUUCUAACCCUAAACUAUGCUAACUAGCGAUCCGCCGAAGUCAUUCCCACGACUCGGCGGGAAGCCCC